rnacentral:rRNA from 1 species
AGGGCAUACGGUGGAUGCCUAGGCGCCAGGAGCCGAAGAAGGACGCGGUAAGCUGCGAAAAGCCACGGGGAACUGCAAGCGAGUAUUGAUCCGUGGAUAUCCGAAUGGGGAAACCCGGCCAUCGUAAUGGAUGGUCAUCCGCAAGGAAGGGAACCCGGGGAACUGAAACAUCUAAGUACCCGGAGGAAAAGAAAUCAAACGAGAUGCCCACAGUAGCGGCGAGCGAAGAGGGCAGAGCCCAAACCUGUAAGCUACGGCUUAUGGGGGUUGAGGACUGACGUAAUUAAGGCCAGGCUUAGCUGAACUACCUGGGAAGGUAGGCGAUAGAAGGUAAGAGCCCUGUAAGCGAAAGGCAGAGCCUUAAGGUCAGUAUCCAGAGUACCACGGAGCACGAGGAAUUCUGUGGGAAGCAGGGGGGACCACCCUCCAAGGCUAAAGACUAACUGGCGACCGAUAGCGCAUAGUACCGUGAGGGAAAGGUGAAAAGAACCCCGGGAGGGGAGUGAAAUAGUACCUGAAACCGUAUGUCUACAAGCAGUCGGAGCGAAAGCGACGGCGUGCCUAUUGAAGAAUGAACCAACGAGUUAUCUGCACUAGCGAGGUUAAGUGGAAGACACGGAGCCGUAGCGAAAGCGAGUCUGAAAAGGGCGGCGAGUUAGUGUAGGUAGACCCGAAACCGCAGUGAUCUACCCAUGUCCAGGUUGAAGCGCAGGUAAAAAUGCGUGGAGGACCGAACCGGUGAGCGUUGAAAAGCUUUCGGAUGAGAUGUGGGUAGGGGUGAAAUUCCAAUCGAACGCGGAGAUAGCUGGUUCUCCCCGAAAUAGCUUUAGGGCUAGCCUCAGGUAGUAAGUAUAGGCGGUAGAGCACUGAUCGGGCUAGGGGCCAUAAAGGUUACCGAACCCUGUCAAACUCCGAAUGGAUAUACUGCAGAGCCUGGGAGUCAGACUACGAGUGAUAAGAUCCGUGGUCAAAAGGGAAACAGCCCAGACCACCGGCUAAGGUCCCAAAUGCCGUACUAAGUGGAAAAGGAUGUGGGGAUUCAUAAACAACCAGGAUGUUGGCUCAGAAGCAGCCACCAUUUAAAGAGUGCGUAAUAGCUCACUGGUCGAGAGUCCCUGCGCCGAAAAUUUCCGGGGCUAAAGUACGGAACCGAAGCCGUGGCUGUGUACUUAGGUGCACGGGGUAGGGGAGCGUUGCCACAGGGGUGAAGCUGGUCUGGAAGGACUGGUGGACUUGUGGGAAGUGAGAAUGUUGGUAUGAGUAGCGAAAAGAAAGGUGAGAAUCCUUUCCACCGAAAGCAUAAGGAUUCCUGAGCAACGAUCGUCGUCUCAGGGUAAGUCGGGACCUAAUCCGAGGCAAAGAGCGUAGGAGAUGGACAACAGGUUGAUAUUCCUGUACCGGCAGCAAUUGUUUGAGCGAAGGAGUGACACAGAAGGGCAGGCAGGCGCGAGACUGGAUUGUCGCGUGCAAGCGUGUAGGGUAGUGUACAGGCAAAUCCGUACACUGAGAGCCUGAGGCGUUACGCGGAGCGAGCAGAGAUGCGAGCGAAGCUGCUGAUCCCACACUGUCGAGAAAAGCUUCUAGUGAGAGAGCUGCCGCCCGUACCGUAAACCGACACAGGUAUGCGGGGAGAGAAUCCUAAGGUGCGCGGGAGAACCCUCGUUAAGGAACUCGGCAAAAUGUACCCGUAACUUCGGGAUAAGGGUAGCCGUCUUGGUGAAGGAGCUUGCCUCUGGAGCUAAAGGCGGUCGCAGAGAAGAGGCCCAAGCGACUGUUUACCACAAACACAGGUGCCUGCUAAAGCGAAAGCUGACGUAUAGGUGCUGACACCUGCCCAGUGCUGGAAGGUUAAGGAAGGAUGUCCGGGCAACCAAAGCAUUCGACCGAAGCCCCAGUGAACGGCGGCCGUAACUAUAACGGUCCUAAGGUAGCGAAAUUCCUUGUCGGGUAAGUUCCGACCCGCACGAAAGGUGUAACGAUUUGGGCACUGUCUCAACGAGGGACCCGGUGAAAUUGAAAUACCUGUGAAGAUGCAGGUUACCCGCGACUGGACAGAAAGACCCCAUGGAGCUUUACUGUAACCUGACAUUGGGUUUUGUUGUAUUACGUACAGGAUAGGUGGGAGGCUUAGAAGGCUGGACGCUAGUCUGGCUGGAGCCGGCGUUGGGAUACCACCCUUGAUACAACGGAAUUCUAACCGAGAGAGUAACGAAAUCCGGGACAGUGUCAGGCGGGCAGUUUGACUGGGGCGGUCGCCUC